AAGAUAAUGUAGUUGGAAAAAAUAUUGCAACAACAACAGUGUAUAGUGCUGAUGAUGACUCAAGUGAAAACUGCUGGCGUGGAAAGGAAAAACUUUUCCUCCCUUGGACUGCUGCUGCUGCUUUGGCUGGCGGCUACCGUGUUCUUUCCGGUGCAAAAUUCGCCAGAACUCGAGUGUGUCACUGCUUUCGGGAACCGUUUGCCUGCUGGGGAGUGUUUUGUUAACUUCAACAAAUCCCAAGAAGAAGAGGUUCGCGGAAGCCGCUAUCCUGGUGUCACUCCGGUACUAACAUUUUUUUCUCAAGUGCGUCGUCCGUUGCGGUGUGCGAAGUUAACGGACGGAGGAAAAUUCGGUGCAAAAAUGAGUGUCUAAAAUAGAGUCGCUUUUAAACGAGCAUAAUUUGCGUUUCCCGUAGAAAAAGUGACUACAAAAAUGAAGUGAAAAAAGAGAAAAAAUAUUCCUCUAUUACAACAUUGUGCUGUUUGAAAGAAGAAAAAAGUAUAUAUUCAUACCAGAAACCAAGUGUGGUUUAUUUUGUGUUUUUUUUUAUGCUAACUCAAGCUCUUGCAGUGGAUAAGCAAGCAACUGUGGUGUGUUUGAUAUCGUUUGAGUGUGAUUUAAUGCAUUAGGUGCAUUCUGUGGCGAGCAAAACAGCUGAUAAAGGAUAUACUGAUUGGAUAGCUAAUAAAACUGCUAUCAGAAUGAAUCCCGCCAUCAGUGAACACGAGGCAGCUUCGCUGGCCGCAGAAAUGUUUGAUCAUUUCUGUGCCGCGACCACAAUGCGACAGAUACUCGGCCUGUACCGAAACAUGUGUGAUAUCCUGGGGCUGAGGCCCGGUCCGUUGAACGAGUUCUAUCCCAAGUUCAAGGCGAAAAUACGCAACUGGAAGGCGCAGGCACUGUGGAAAAAGUUUGACGCCCGCGCCUCGCAUCGUGUGUACAACAAGGGAACCGCCGCCAGCGGUACCCGUGUUCUAGUCAUCGGCGCAGGACCCUGCGGUCUGCGCACGGCAAUCGAAGCCCAGCUGCUCGGCGCCAAAGUGGUUGUUGUUGAAAAGCGUGAUAGGAUUACGAGAAACAACGUUCUACAUCUGUGGCCAUUUCUAAUCACCGAUCUCAAGGCACUCGGAGCGAAAAAAUUCUACGGUAAGUUCUGUGCCGGUUCCAUCGAUCACAUCUCGAUCCGGCAGCUGCAGUGCAUUCUGCUCAAGGUAGCCCUGCUGUUGGGCGUAGAGAUUCACGAGGGUGUUUCGUUCAUCCGCGAGAUCGAACCGAAGGACGGCUGCGGAUGGCGGGCAGCCGUCUCGCCAGAAGAUCACGCCGUAUCCCACUAUGAGUUCGAUGUGCUGAUCGGUGCCGACGGUAAGCGCAACACCUUGGAAGGGUUCAAGCGGAAGGAGUUCCGCGGUAAGCUAGCAAUCGCUAUCACUGCCAACUUCAUCAACAAGAAAACUGAAGCAGAAGCCAAAGUUGAGGAAAUCAGCGGAGUGGCGUUCAUAUUCAACCAAUCGUUCUUUAAAGAACUGUACCAAACCACAGGCAUAGACCUGGAGAACAUCGUGUACUACAAAGACGAAACGCACUACUUCGUGAUGACGGCGAAAAAACACAGCCUUCUGGAUAAGGGUGUCAUCAUUCAGGACUACGCCGACCCAGCGGAGUUGCUUUCGUCGGCAAACGUAGACUCGUCCAAGCUGCUGGACUACGCCCGCGAAGCGGCCAAUUUCUCCACCAAAUAUCAGAUGCCGAAUCUCGAAUUCGCAGUUAACCAUUACGGCAAGCCGGACGUAGCGAUGUUCGAUUUCACCUCCAUGUUUGCCGCCGAUAACUCGUGUAAGGUUACCGUUCGAAAGAAUUAUCGUCUGCUCUCUUGCCUGGUGGGUGACAGCCUACUGGAACCGUUCUGGCCAACGGGGUCCGGCUGUGCCCGAGGUUUCCUAUCCAGCAUGGACGCAGCGUACGCGAUAAAGUUGUUCUCCAACUCUAAAAACAGCCUCCUAGCAGUGCUAGCGCAGCGUGAGUCCAUCUAUCGGCUGCUAGCGCAAACAACCCCGGAGAACCUACAACGGGAUAUUGGAGCAUACACACUGGAUCCCAGCACCCGGUAUCCGAACCUUAACAAAUCAUCGGUCAACAUGAUCCAGGUGAAGCAUUUGCUGGAUACCGACGACCCGGCCUUGCUAGAGCAAACCUUCCUGGAUACCAAUUCGCUUACGGCCGGUCCGGAAGUUUCCAUUACCAAACGCAAGCGGCGUACCAACGAUACCGUUCCGCUGGGAACGGUACUGCUGCGAUGGAUCAAAUCCCAGCUGAAGGAUAGUGCUUUCGUGCAGGACCUCACGGAGGCUGCUCAGUGCUUCAUCAACGGUCGCGUUCUGUGCACUUUGAUCAACCGCUACCGGCCGGACUUGGUCAACCUCGAGGAGCUCGAAGUGUGCACCGCAGAGGAAUGUAACGAGCAUGCGUUUGCGAUUCUGGAAGAUCACCUUGGAAUUCCCCGUAUCAUGUCCGGCCAGGACUCGAUAACAUUGGCCGGAGUCGACUCGAAGCUGUGGCUGAAUUAUCUCGAACAGAUUUGCGAGGUGUUCCGCGGUGAAAUUCCACACGUCAAACAUCCCAAGCUGGAUUAUGCCGAGUUCAAGCAGAAGCAGCAGAUCAACAGCAUGGAGGAGUUCGCGAAGCUGCGGCGGUUCGCCGCCAAUCGAAUGGCCGCCAUCAACGAGCCACCGGCUACUCCCGGCAGCACCCCAGCUGGUACUGCCCGGAAGUCUUCCAACUACUUUCACACCAACGAAGAGGAACGUAUCAAGCGCAGUCGCAAGGUGCUGGGCGCAGAAUCUAGUCCAAUGGCUUCACCACAAACUGAUACCACGAAGCGAGCCAAAAAACGUCGUAGCUAUGAGAAGUUUGGAAAUAUUGAGGAACGCACCCGCCGUUUUCAGGAGAUCGAAGCGAACCGGCUCGAUCGGCAGACCAAGCGGCGGCUCGCCCGGGCCCAGCAGACCCAGAACUUCUACACCAGCCUCCACAUGCUGCAGGCGAACACUUUCCUGCGCGAAAGUGACAGCUCUAGCGCGUUCGAGGACUAUUCGCUCUUUCUGUACCGCCAGUCGGCGCCCGAGUUCAACGAUCGCGUCAAAGAGAUGGAACGGAAGAUCCUCUAUCCCGAUCGCGAUCGAGGCCUAGCGGCGGCCUAUCCGCGAAGUCUCGUCGCCGCAAACGACGGGGAACAGUUUAGCGAUCGGAUCAAAUCGAUGGAGCAGCGAAUCGUCGGCAAACAACCGACCGUCACCGAGAAGAAACCGAAAGAUCUGCUGCGGGCGAUCGGUAAGAUCGACAGCAACGAUUGGAAUGUGAAGGAGAUCGAGAAGAAGAUCGAACUGUCGAAGAAGGCAACCGACAUUGGCAAGAGCCGUGAACGCGUUCCGAAGUGGAACCGUGAGCAAUUUUUAGCCCGCCAGAAUAAGCUCACCCAGCAGCCCGAGGACGAAAAGUACAAGGAGUUCGAUAGUUCGCUGAAAGCGAUCGACAAACAGCUGAAGGAGGGACACAACUUGGAUCUCGGCGAGCGAGGCAAGAAUAAGGUGGCUUCCAUUGCCGGUCAGUUGCUCAGCACUAAGCAACAGCAGCGACAGCAGCAGCAACAGCAACAUAAUCAGAAAUCGACCUCAAAAGCCGCUCUGGUGCUAACGUCUACGGGUGUUGCGGAAAAGUGCCACUUCUGCAAACAGCGCGUCUAUUUGAUGGAAAAAAUUUCUGCGGAAGGACUUACCUUGCAUCGAUCCUGUCUAAAGUGCCAUCACUGCCAUACAAACUUACGACUUGGUGGCUACGCGUUCGAUCGGGACGAUCCGGAGGGAAAGUUCUACUGCACUCAGCACUUCAAGCUGCCAUCGAAAACCUUCAAACCUCUGCCCAAGCGGUCCCUACCGCGAACGCCCCAGGCAAACGCAGGGAACGCAGCGAUCGCGGUUGCCACCACGCAACCUUCUACACCCGACUCGAAAUCAUCCAACUUCGAUCUGCUGGAUCGCGGUGAAACACCGGAGCGGAUCGAGUUCGAAAACGCCGACGAAUCGAUCUCGGACAGCGAAGCGGCCAUGGAAGUUAUCGACGAAAACGAGUGGACCGAUCGGAACUUCGGUACCGAGUCGGACGAAUCCGACGAGGACAUGUCCAGCUCGGAUGAGUCGGACAGCGAGAGUGAUUCGGACUACGAGGAAGCGGCAGGAUCGCCGCUGGGUGCGCAGACGCUCCAGCUGGCAUCCGAGUGGAUCAGUGACAAGCGGUUCUCCAACAUGGUUGACAGUGAUGAUGAUUUCUAUGGUUACUCCAGUGAAGAUGACGAAGCAGACUCCCAAACGGAAGGCGAAGAAUUCGCCCGAGCGCGCGAGAUUCGAAUGCAGGAGGUAAAGCUGAUGCCGCCACCGACCCUACCAACGGAUACCGAAACCGAGGUUGCCUCUAAACAACAGCCACAAGUAGUCCCCACUGUAGCUCCUAAUCAGCCCAGUAAUGCCCUUUGCACUGUACCUAAUCAAACCCCCAGCAAGGCACCUUCUCUCAUUAACCCGCCGCAGCCGGCGGAAUCCGCCGAGGACAAAGCGCUUAGGGAGAAAAUGCUCCAGAAGCUUAGCAUUCGCGAGCAGUGGCUUCAUUCAACAUCAUCAUCACCGGUGCAGGCCGAACCUGUCGUCCCUGCGGCCGACGUUCAAAAGCCCAAAACUUCCUUCUUCGGGGGUCUCAUGAACAGUCUCAGCACACUGAUCAAGUCCGACAAACAGCCACCGAAAACAUCUCCUCCCCCUCAAGUUGCUCAAGAUUCACCCCCUGGCAUGCAGGUUACCCCUCGGGUAGACGAUUCAUUCUCAUCUCUUUCGCCUUCACUCCGCCAGUUAGCCGUGUCAUCUCCGAAACCUCCGCCCUCACCGACACCUUCAUUGAAAAAGUCAAAACAUGGAGAUGUUCCUCCUUCCCCGACGCUAUCAUUGAAGAAACAAAAACAGCUUGAAGUUCCUUCCUCACCAACACCAUCUCUUAAGAAACACAAGAAGCACAAGCAUACAGCAAGUCCAUCUCCAACGCCAUCUACCGGUAGUCAAAAUCUCUCUGAGGACGGAACGUUCAGUGCUAGUAGCGGUCGCAGUACGCCACAUUCCAAACGACGCUCGCACUCAAAAACGGCAGAAGUCCGCCAGGACACGGACGAAUUCCUAGAUCAAAUCAAGCAAGAUCAAGCAGCUUUGGAUCAACGGAUGAAAAAAGUUGAAGCCAAGAAAUUCAAGACCAACAUGCAAUCCAUUAAAUCGGCUGUCGAAGGUUCCCGAAUAGUGGGUGUCAAAAGCGAAAAGGAUGUUUCCAAAUUUUUUGGCGGUCCAAAGAAAGAUUCGGUUGAUCAAAAAGCCAAACCACUCCCCAACAAAGACGUGUCAGUCCUACAAGGGGUCAAUCUGUCGAAAUACUUCCCUAGCGCAGGCAGCUCUGCUCCUCCCAGCGCAAAGGCAAGCAUUGGAACACCCUCUUCAGUUUCUAGCGUAGAAAGUUCUCCCAUGUUAGGUCGCAAGAAACCCACUGAUGUGGAACUUAUGAAAUAUUUUGGCCCCAGCACGGCGAAAUCAUCGCCGUCUACUCCGUCGUCCCUUAAUUCACCUGCUAUUUCACGCAAAAGCAGUAUAGAAUCCCCUGGAACCGUUCGAAAACAGACCGCGGCGAUCACUUCUACUACUGCUUCAAAAACCCCAGCCAUAUUGGCUCCCAAGCCUCCAAUGGUUCCCCUUCCCCCAAAGAAAAACGUUCUAGCUUUCCAACCAAUCAAAAAAUCCAAAACCGAAUCCGUUCUCCCGGCCGCUGUACCGACAAAGAACGUACUCGCUUUUCAACCGGUAGCGAAACCACCAAAACCGUCCUCUCCAAAACCUCUACCUAAAGCCAGGUCUUCACCACCUAAACAGGCUCACUCAUCUCCUCCAAAAUCCCCCAAAGAGGAUGAUGCAUUAUUCGACAACCUGCUGAAAUCCCUUCCCGAUCAAGCUUCCUCAAGCAUCGAAGACAACUUGUUAUUCGUUGAUCUGUUAAGCAAGGUAGAUGAUUCCCCAAAAGCUGGCCGUAAAACUUACCCCCUGGUAAAAGCCAGCACGCCCCCAAAACAGCGAUCACUAGAUGAACAGAUUUUCGACGACCUGCUCGGAGAAGUCGACGAUUCUUUGAUCGAAAAUUUUGAGGAAAUAGUAGGUCUUCCCAGCAAAAAGCCAAGCCCCAAACUAGCCAAAAAGAAAACCUCCCCUAAGCGAUCGCCCAAAGUUUCGCCAAAGCAUUCGCCCCCGUCGGUAAAGAAAAGUGCAGCGGUUAAACCACCCAAAAUGACCCUCAAACGACCGCCGUUCAAAAUCGCUGUUCCUGUGAAGAUGCAGGAAACUCUGGAGGAAAUCUACCUCUCUAGUUUAUCCAAGUUAGAUACACGCUCGAUGUCCAUGACCAGUUUGAGCUCCGUCGCUAGUAAAUCCAGUGACGGUGCGGGUGACCACCAAGGUAAGAUUGAGGAAGCAUUCGAGCAGCUACUGCUGCCGGAAGCGUUCCCAGUGGUGGUUCACCAGCCCGAACCGAUCAAGACUCAGCCCUUUCAGGCCCCCCAGCGUGCGAGCACGACGACGAAGUCCCCACCGACUGGUGGCAACCGGAAAGACGAGAAAGCUUCUAACAAAACGCCAUCGCCGUCGCAGCCGUCGACGAAGCUACCGGAGAGGACCUUGGCAGUACAGGUAUUGCCGCUAGAUAUGAAACCUGCGACGCCGAAUUUGUCCAAAAAGAUCGCUCCGAAGUCCGCUUUACCGUGUGUACAAAAUGUAGGAACCAAUGCCGUAACCGGAAAACAAUCUGUCACACCACUGUUUUCGCAAUCGAAUAAAACUGCAGUAAAUGUUAAUCUGAACAAUCGUAUUAGUAACUUCGAAGAUUUGCUGGAUGGCGUGGAUAGUGCGGAACAUGUUGAGUUGGAUGAUUUGCUGUGUGAGUUGAACAUUGUCGAAAAGACUACAAAACCUGCGGUUGUUCAAAAGACCACAAACCUGGUUUCCCCGAAACAAACGCCGAAAAUCAUCAGCAAUGAGUCUGUUGAGGCAAUACCUACUCCCCCGACAACUCCAAGUGUAGUUAGAAAGGUGACUUCUGUGAAGACAACUAAAGAAUUGUCGACAUCAGUGAACAAUCAAGCUCUACCAAAUGUUUCUAAAUUGCCCAAUCCUUCUGUCAUAGCUUCAACGAUUCCCAUGCCGGAAUCUAGUGAUCAGCCAGCGAUCAAGUCCACUCCACUCAGCACUCCAACUGCAUUCAGAGAACCGUUGAACCAGAAGUUGGUGACGGGAGCUCCAAAUGUUUCUAAAUUGCCCACUUCUUCUGUGCCAAUUUCAACGAAUCCCAAGCCGCUACUGGCAUGUAGUGAUCAGCCAGCGAUCAAGUCCACUCCACCCAGCACUCCAACUGCGUUCAGAAAACCGUUGAACCAGAAAACGGUGACUGAGGCUCCAACUCCAACCGUGGUACAGCAACCAAAGGUUGUACCAAUUCAGGAAUCGCAAGCUCUUGAAACACCAAAACUAAUUCGAAAAAUUACUGUUCUCGAACAAUCCAAGUUACCAGUGUCUUCUCCUGCUGCCGUGCGUAGAGCUCAAAAUCCUGAAAAAUCAACGCCAACUCCGAUCAGGAAAAUUGAAGCAUCUGCGCCGAGUAAUGACAUUAAACCACAACUCGAUAAGCUGGAGACUUCUGCUAAAGCUCAAGUGAUUACUAGAGCUCAGGAACCCAAAAUGCCUCUCACACCAACCGCAACAGAAAGACAACAUAUUGAAGCUAGAGUUACUCCUGCGGAAAAACCGAUUCAAAAUCUGCCCAAACCUGUUGCAAUACGAUCCGAGCGAAAGCUUUCAAAGGACGACAUCUGCUUCGAAGAACUACGUGUGAAGCAUGAGACCAUCUUCAGCCAACAGCAGUCGGCUUCUAACACGGCACGAGAUAAUUUCUUCAAAGAGCUAACCCCUGCCGAGGUUUCCCCUCCCAUGGUCGAAACUAAACCCGUAGAAGUUCCACGUACUCUUUCCGAGUUCCGCAGUACGAUUCUGGUGAAACGCGAAACUAGAGACAAACCAGACAGCGAUAUCACGCCCGUAAUGCGCAAAAAGAUCAACGAACUAGUGAUGGAAAUUAUGCCGGGCGCUAACCUAGAAGACCUAGUUGACGAGGUUCCCAUCCCAGCCGAGCGUAAGAAAUCAUCGUUCCAGAAAAUGUACAACAAGUUGCAGCGGGCAAAAACAAUUGCCGUUCCGGAAGGGUCUGCGCUGAAGGAUCUGCUAACACCAACGAAAGGUGACGAAUAUAAAAUGGAGCUCAUUCGAGAGAACCACUCCACGGCAAACGAGCGUAUUCAAAUCAACUUGGAGCGUACGGCCCAGAUAAAGGAGAAAUACAUCAAGCAGAAGGCGCCGACUCCUCCGAAACCGUCCACUAGUCCAACCAAGCAGAUUCAGCCGUCGCUGGAGAAAAAAGGUUCCUUUAAAAUACAACCAACUGUUAAACCUGAGGAAGAGCGCACAGCGCUUAACAAAUCUCUACAGGACGGAACUUCAAAACAGAAUCCUCCGCCACCCGUGACAUAUUUGGAUAUAACGCCAGUUCCUCCAGUUCGAAAGGGUUCCCAAAAAUCGCGUUCUCCAAGCAUUGUUCCUGAAACACUGAAAGCAGCUGAACGUAAAGUCUCCCUGAAAAUGCCCAUUCCCGUGGAUGUUGAUCGGGAAGUUAGCAUUCUAAGUCGCGAUACCACUAAGCGAACGCCGAACGCAGUCAUUGAUUUUGAAGAUUUACUGAACAGCAUUGAUAGCACGGAAGUGGUUGACUUGGAUGACCUUCUCGGUGAAGAUACUUCCGCCAGUACUGUAGACAAGGUUACCACAAAAGACAAAGAUAUUCCUAAAGAACAGCCGAAAAUUGUUGAGAAGAGUUCAUCUUCUCCGGUUAAAACCGAUAAUCUGCCUCGAAACCAGUCGGCUAAGUACAAUCUAUCCGAGGAACAAUUUAAUCAAACAUCCAAAGAGCUGUUGGAGAAGUUCUUGAAAUCGAAAAUACCUCCCAAGCAAGAGGAUGACAAUAAACCAACCAUGAUCACUUCUCUGACUGAAGUAACCAGUCUUCUAGAGGAAGUAAAACCGUCAGAACUCUCCAGCGUCGUUUCGAAGGAAAAACCCAAAUCGAACAGUUCAGAUCUAAUUAAUUCCUCCACUUCGCUAAACGAACUCUGCACCCUACCGGACAUCGUUAGUAUGACUCGCAAGGAACCGGCUGGCGAAGUACCGCACCCUAAAGUGGCGGUGUCAACCCACACUGAAAAGAUCGAGCAACCGAUAAAACAUUUCCCACAAGAAAUUCAAGUCUACACUCUGCACACAGCCGGAGGAGACGAAAAACCUGCCGAACCGCAACCCUCCACCAGUGGUGUAACGGGUAAUUACGCUCAUAUCCUGCGUGACAUCACCUCCGGAUUGGUGGGGGCCGACUUUGCCGCCCCCGUUAUGUACGAACCCCCGCCUGCCAUGGACACAAAACCAAAAUCGAACUUCACCACCUACAAGAAAAUCCUGGAGGAAAGGGCGCACGAAUCGCCGGAGCAGCCAAUGCGACCAUUACGCAAACCGAAACCUGAUCGUAGCGUUUCACCACUGUUCAAGCCGUUCGACAACUCGAUCUGCAUUGAUCCCCACCGGGCGAAGAGAUCCGCUAGCAUUGAGAAUAUAGCCAUUGAUCAAGUUUUUGUGAAACAAGAUGACAAGGUUGUUGACACCUUUUACGUUGUCCCGGAACAGCGUCCGCAGCUCAAGCGUAGUUCGAAAUCGUUCGAUCGGUUAGCCGUACCGUCAACCUCAAAAGCAGUUGCGCGUCAACAGAAGAAGUCUCUCGAUGAACUUCGUGACUAUGGCUUUGAUGUCGAACCUCCUGCGUCCUCGAGACAUCUAGUCAACCCAAGACUACGUCACUUCCACCUCGAUGAAUCCGAAGAAGAUCUUUCAAGCCUGAAAGAGUAUCGUAAGCGGGAGUAUGUCAGAAAGUGUAAAUCAACAGCAGAUACAACGAAGCUCGAAGUAGAUGCUACUCGAGUUGACAUUGAUCGGGAGUCACCCAUUCCUCGAAGCACAGAUUUCUCUAAAUGGGAAGCUAUCCUAGAUCGCGGUGUUCCAUACUACCAAGAGCCUACGGUGCACAGGAAGGAAGAUGUGAAAACGUUGGAGCGAAAGCUGGACGAUUUGAAAACAGAGUGCAGACCUCGUCGCAAGAUCACUGGCAAAGACGCUAUCCCUAAAGAUUACGAUCCGGAAGAAUACGUACCACGUAUCAAUCGUCGUGUGCUGGAUUCGUUCGAGAUUCCUGAUCCCGAUCUCCCUAGAUCAUACGAUCCGGAAGAGUAUGUUCCAAGAGCUCAACGUACCAAACCGCAGCGGUCGUCCGCCUACGAAAUUGACGUUCCGAUCAGCCGAGUUGCCGGAAAGUACUACCCGGAAACACUGCAUCUGGACGACAUCCCUCACACACUGCCCAGAUCCAAAACAUCCACACAUGUUCCGUUCAGUUCGUCAAAAUCCUACGAAUUACCAGCUCGCGACGUAGCCAGAACUCAACUUACUCACCGCCGAAAUAUCGGUGGAAGCCGCACACAGCAGUUACACGAAAAAGCCAACAAAUUCAUUCGAUCCCAAAUUACCAAAAAUGACCCAAACCCGUACAUUCGGGCGUUGGCGGACAGUGAUGACGAUGAUUAUCAUCCUAUCACAAGCUCCAGCUCAUAUCGUGCUCCCAUUACGACCAGUGCCUUCCAUCCCACGUCGACUUACGGUUCAUCCAAUUCGGCUGCACUGAGCCGCAUCACCGCCAAAGCCAUCACUCAACCGUCCCGUAUGACUCAUUACACUCGGAGGGACCUCCCGUCUUCGUCGUCCACAAGCGCUCGCUCCUAUCACCGAGGGGGUGAAUCUUCCAACCGUCGGGAGAAUUGUACAAUUUCCUAAAUUCACAGCCCCUACGAAAAUGUUUCGUAACAUAUAGUUUCAUCUUUCGGCCUGCAACUUCGAAAUCACAUCUGUAGUAGACUUAAACCAACAAACCAAAUCACUCCCAGUAGGAUCAUCAUUUUCACAUUGAUACACAUUCGUAAACGAACAACAUCGAAACUUGCAACACCCCACCCUCCCUUAAGUAAUGCACUCACGGAUAUCUGGGUACGAUUUAAGCUGAAAUGAAGCAAAAAUAAAGACAGACUGAUAGAAAGCAAGAGGGUGCAUCCGACUCGGAAUCGUGCUCGGAGGAGAUAAACUCGGCCACGGAAAUUUCUACCGAUUCGGAGUUUGACCACGAACCAAGCCACCGACUGCCGCCGCGGAUUUUCAUCGACGAUACGCACCUGAAGCGACCGGC